rnacentral:rRNA from 1 species
UACGGAGGGUGCAAGCGUUAUCCGGAUUCACUGGGUUUAAAGGGUGCGUAGGUGGGUCUGUAAGUCAGUGGUGAAAUCUCCGGGCUUAACCCGGAAACUGCCAUUGAUACUAUAGGUCUUGAAUUUCUGGAGGUCAGCGGAAUAUGUCAUGUAGCGGUGAAAUGCUUAGAUAUGACAUAGAACACCAAUUGCGAAGGCAGCUGGCUACACGAAUAUUGACACUGAGGCACGAAAGCGUGGGGAUCAAACAGG